GUGUAAACUGCUUUUAUACGGGAAGAAACCCACCUACGUGUAGGUGGCUGACGGUACCGUAAGAAUAAGGACCGGCUAACUCCGUGCCAGCAGCCGCGGUAAUACGGAGGGUCCGAGCGUUAUCCGGAAUCAUUGGGUUUAAAGGGUCCGUAGGCGGGCCUGUAAGUCAGGGGUGAAAGUUUGUGGCUCAACCAUAAAAUUGCCUUUGAUACUGCAGGUCUUGAGUCAUGGUGGGGUUGCCGGAACAUGUGGUGUAGCGGUGAAAUGCAUAGAUAUCACAUAGAACACCGAUCGCGAAGGCAGGUGACCAACCAUGUACUGACGCUGAUGGACGAAAGCGUGGGUAGCGAACGGGAUUAGAUACCCCGGUAGUCCACGCCGUAAACGAUGGAUACUAGCUGUGGGGACAUUGUCUCCGUGGCCAAGCGAAAGUGAUAAGUAUCCCACCUGGGGAGUACGACCGCAAGGUUGAAACUCAAAGGAAUUGACGGGGGCCCGCACAAGCGGUGGAGCAUGUGGUUUAAUUCGAUGAUACGCGAGGAACCUUACCAGGGCUUAAAUGCAGGCUGCAUGGGGUGGAGACAUCCCUUUCUUCGGACCGCCUGCAAGGUGCUGCAUGGUUGUCGUCAGCUCGUGCCGUGAGGUGUCAGGUUAAGUCCUAUAACGAGCGCAACCCCUACCGUUAGUUGCCAGCGAGUCAAGUCGGGGACUCUAACGGGACUGCCGGUGCAAACCGUGAGGAAGGUGGGGACGACGUCAAAUCAUCACGGCCCUUACGUCCUGGGCCACACACGUGCUACAAUGGCCGGUACAGAGGGAAGCCACCCCGCAAGGGGGCGCGGAUCUAUAAAACCGGUCACAGUUCGGAUCGGGGUCUGCAACUCGACCCCGUGAAGCUGGAAUCGCUAGUAAUCGGAUAUCAGCCAUGAUCCGGUGAAUACGUUCCCGGGCCUUGUACACACCGCCCGUCAAGCCAUGGAAGCCGGGAGUGCCUGAAGUCCGUCACCGCAAGGAGCGUCCUAGUCAAAAAUC
rnacentral:rRNA from 1 species